AGUGAACGCUGGCGGUAGGCCUAACACAUGCAAGUCGAACGGCAGCACAGUAAGAGCUUGCUCUUACGGGUGGCGAGUGGCGGACGGGUGAGUAAUACAUCGGAAUCUACUUUUUCGUGGGGGAUAACGUAGGGAAACUUACGCAAAUACCGCAUACGACCUACGGGUGAAAGCAGGGGAUCUUCGGACCUUGCGCGAUUGAAUGAGCCGAUGUCGGAUUAGCUAGUUGGCGGGGUAAAGGCCCACCAAGGCGACGAUCCGUAGCUGGUCUGAGAGGAUGAUCAGCCACACUGGAACUGAGACACGGUCCAGACUCCUACGGGAGGCAGCAGUGGGGAAUAUUGGACAAUGGGCGCAAGCCUGAUCCAGCCAUACCGCGUGGGUGAAGAAGGCCUUCGGGUUGUAAAGCCCUUUUGUUGGGAAAGAAAAGCAGCAGGUUAAUACCCCGCUGUUCUGACGGUACCCAAAGAAUAAGCACCGGCUAACUUCGUG
rnacentral:rRNA from 1 species